GGCGCUCCAGGAUGCGCUGCUGAAAAAGAGAGAGCUAGAAGAAGAAGUUGAAAAUCUGAGGCAGUCCUGGAUAAGGGGUGAUGCAGAUAAUUCGAGGUCGGAAGGAGCAGAGCUUCCCUAGGACUCUUUUUGGCCUUCCAUCUUUCCAUGCAUAUAUUUUCUCUUUUGUUGUUUUGUCUUGCUCUUGUCGUUUUGCUUUUCUUCCUU
rnacentral:lncRNA from 1 species